GGGGAAACAUAAUUCUGUAAUAUGGUGACAACUGUGCCUCAGAAAAAAAUUGGUGCGGCGCCCAAUCAAAAUCUAAUGUCAUUUCAAUAAUAGUGUACAGGCAAGUAUGCAAACAGCUCCACUCGAACUCAUUUCACAUCCAAGAAUAGAUGGCAAAACAAAUAUAUAUAUAUAUGGCUAAUGAAAUUAAAAGGACAUCAUUUAAUCCAAUUAAACAAACGUUCUUAGCAGAAUCUUCAGUGUC
rnacentral:misc_RNA from 1 species